rnacentral:rRNA from 1 species
AAAUUGAAGAGUUUGAUCAUGGCUCAGAUUGAACGCUGGCGGCAGGCCUAACACAUGCAAGUCGAACGGUAGCACAGAGAGCUUGCUCUCGGGUGACGAGUGGCGGACGGGUGAGUAAUGUCUGGGAAACUGCCCGAUGGAGGGGGAUAACUACUGGAAACGGUAGCUAAUACCGCAUAACGUCGCAAGACCAAAGUGGGGGACCUUCGGGCCUCACACCAUCGGAUGUGCCCAGAUGGGAUUAGCUAGUAGGUGGGGUAACGGCUCACCUAGGCGACGAUCCCUAGCUGGUCUGAGAGGAUGACCAGCCACACUGGAACUGAGACACGGUCCAGACUCCUACGGGAGGCAGCAGUGGGGAAUAUUGCACAAUGGGCGCAAGCCUGAUGCAGCCAUGCCGCGUGUAUGAAGAAGGCCUUCGGGUUGUAAAGUACUUUCAGCGAGGAGGAAGGCGUUGUGGUUAAUAACCACAGCGAUUGACGUUACUCGCAGAAGAAGCACCGGCUAACUCCGUGCCAGCAGCCGCGGUAAUACGGAGGGUGCAAGCGUUAAUCGGAAUUACUGGGCGUAAAGCGCACGCAGGCGGUUUGUUAAGUCAGAUGUGAAAUCCCCGGGCUCAACCUGGGAACUGCAUUUGAAACUGGCAAGCUUGAGUCUCGUAGAGGGGGGUAGAAUUCCAGGUGUAGCGGUGAAAUGCGUAGAGAUCUGGAGGAAUACCGGUGGCGAAGGCGGCCCCCUGGACAAAGACUGACGCUCAGGUGCGAAAGCGUGGGGAGCAAACAGGAUUAGAUACCCUGGUAGUCCACGCCGUAAACGAUGUCUACUUGGAGGUUGUGCCCUUGAGGCGUGGCUUCCGGAGCUAACGCGUUAAGUAGACCGCCUGGGGAGUACGGCCGCAAGGUUAAAACUCAAAUGAAUUGACGGGGGCCCGCACAAGCGGUGGAGCAUGUGGUUUAAUUCGAUGCAACGCGAAGAACCUUACCUGGUCUUGACAUCCACGGAAGUUUUCAGAGAUGAGAAUGUGCCUUCGGGAACCGUGAGACAGGUGCUGCAUGGCUGUCGUCAGCUCGUGUUGUGAAAUGUUGGGUUAAGUCCCGCAACGAGCGCAACCCUUA